AUUGAACGCUGGCGGCAGGCCUAACACAUGCAAGUCGAACGGUAACAGGAAGAAGCUUGCUUCUUUGCUGACGAGUGGCGGACGGGUGAGUAAUGUCUGGGAAACUGCCUGAUGGAGGGGGAUAACUACUGGAAACGGUAGCUAAUACCGCAUAACGUCGCAAGACCAAAGAGGGGGACCUUCGGGCCUCUUGCCAUCGGAUGUGCCCAGAUGGGAUUAGCUAGUAGGUGGGGUAACGGCUCACCUAGGCGACGAUCCCUAGCUGGUCUGAGAGGAUGACCAGCCACACUGGAACUGAGACACGGUCCAGACUCCUACGGGAGGCAGCAGUGGGGAAUAUUGCACAAUGGGCGCAAGCCUGCUGCAGCCAUGCCGCGUGUAUGAAGAAGGCCUUCGGGUUGUAAAGUACUUUCAGCGGGGAGGAAGGGAGUAAAGUUAAUACCUUUGCUCAUUGACGUUACCCGCAGAAGAAGCACCGGCUAACUCCGUG
rnacentral:rRNA from 1 species